rnacentral:rRNA from 1 species
CCUACGGGUGGCAGCAGUGAGGAAUAUUGGUCAAUGGGCUUACGCCUGAACCAGCCAAGUCGCGUGAGGGAAGACUGCCCUCUGGGUUGUAAACAUCUUUUGUCAGGGAGCAACGCCGGCUACGUGUAGCCGGACUGAGAGUACCUGAAGAAAAAGCAUCGGCUAACUCCGUGCCAGCAGCCGCGGUAAUACGGAGGAUGCGAGCGUUAGCCGGUUUGAUGGGGUUUAAAGGGUGCGUAGGCGGAAUGCCAAGUCAGCGGUAAAAUCGCGGGGCUCCACAUCGCUCUGCAGUUGACACUGGCGUUCUUGAGUGGGCGAGAGGUAUGCGGAAUGCGUGGUGUAGCGGUGAAAUGAAUAGAUAUCACGCAGAACUCCGAUUGCGAAGGCAGCAUACCGGCGCCCAACUGACGCUGAAGCACGAAAGCGUGGGUAUCGAACAGGAUUAGAUACCCCAGUAGUC